AUAUCAAUAAGCGGAGGAAAAGAAACCAACAGGGAUUACCUCAGUAACGGCGAGUGAAGCGGUAACAGCUCAAAUUUGAAAUCUGGGUCUUUCAGGCUCCGAGUUGUAAUUUGUAGAAGAUGCUUUGGGUGCGGCCCCGGUCUAAGUUCCUUGGAACAGGACGUCAUAGAGGGUGAGAAUCCCGUAUGUGAUCGGUGGCUUGCGCCCGUGUAAAGCUCUUUCGACGAGUCGGGUUGUUUGGGAAUGCAGCUCUAAAUGGGUGGUAAAUUUCAUCUAAAGCUAAAUAUUGGCCAGAGACCGAUAGCGCACAAGUAGAGUGAUCGAAAGAUGAAAAGCACUUUGGAAAGAGAGUUAAACAGUACGUGAAAUUGUUGAAAGGGAAGCGCUUGCAACCAGACUUGCGCGGGGUUGAUCAUCCGGGGUUCUCCCCGGUGCACUCGGCCUCGCUCAGGCCAGCAUCGGUUUCGGUGGUUGGAUAAAGGCCUUGGGAAUGUGACUCCUCUCGGGGAGUGUUAUAGCCCUCGGUGCAAUGCAGCCUACCGGGACCGAGGACCGCGCUUCGGCUAGGAUGCUGGCGUAAUGGUUGUAAGCGA
rnacentral:rRNA from 1 species